UGGGUCGAAGGUUGAGGUGUCAAUGUUUGGUUCUGAGAAUUGGUGAUCUUCUAUCUUCUUUACUCGUGUAGUUAUAUUUCAGUAUUUAGGAGGUAGAGGCUGAAAUCAAAGAAAAGGACAGUGUUUAUGUUCUGUAAGCAACCUCUUUCUUUAAACACACCACCAACUUUCACUAUAAACAUUUUCACAUCAUAAUCAUAAUUUUUUUUUUAUUUUUAUUAUCAUUUUACCUUUAUAUUAUAUAUUAAAU
rnacentral:lncRNA from 1 species